UAAAUAUCUAAAUUUAAGUAUAUCAUUUACAAUGAUAAGAUGUUAUAUAACUUUAUUUAAAUUAAUUUUAUUAAUAUAUUUUUUUUUUUUUGA
rnacentral:tRNA from 1 species